rnacentral:rRNA from 1 species
UACAGAGACUGCGAGCGUUAUUCGGAUUCACUGGGCGUAAAGGGUGCGCAGGCGGCCAAGUGUGUGAGGCGUGAAAGCCCGGGGCUUAACCCCGGAAUUGCACCUCAAACUACAUGGCUAGAGCAUUGGAGAGGGUAGCAGAAUUCACGGUGUAGCAGUGAAAAUGCGUAGAUAUCGUGAGGAAUACCAGAGGCGAAGGCGGCUACCUGGACAAUUGCUGACGCUCAGGCACGAAAAGCGUGGGGGAGCAAAAAGGGG